CACACCGCCCGUCACAUCACGAAAGCCUUUUGUACUAGAAGCCGGCAAUUCGACCGCAAGGAGAUAGCCGUCCAAGGUAUGAAUGGUGAUUGGGGUG
rnacentral:rRNA from 1 species